CUGAAUGAUGUGCACCUUCUUGUGGUGGACCAUUGCAUUGCAUUGCUGCUUGUGGCAUGCAUGCCCUUCGGUCUGCUACGUCUUCCAUCAAUCAAACCUGUUCAUUGUAUGGUGGGGUGGCAACCUUUUGUUGGGUAGUUGCUCCUUAAAUGUGGAAAUAUAUA
rnacentral:misc_RNA from 1 species